UCUGCAUUAAGUUAAUUAAACCGAGAUGUUAAAUUUCUGUAACACAAACUAGGCCUUCCCAAUUCUGAACAAAAGAAAUAAUAUUAUCUAUCAGAUUGGAGAAGCAACAACUAUGGCUGUAUCAAAGACUUCUAAAUUGAUUUCAGCAUUCAAAAAGUUUCACCUUGAUUCGCAGUCGUUCAGCAACUUCAGAUUGUUCAUCAUACUCAUCGAUCACCUGCAGAGAUGGGAAUAGCUAAUCCACACUAUCUUUUGGAUUGUGUCUCACUUAUGGUAGUUACUGUAUGAUAUUAUUGCAUGAUAUUUAUUUAUGAUUCUUAUGUUUAGAUAAUUAUUUACGUUAUAUCUGCUGUAGUUACUAAUGCUCUUUUAUUUGUUUUUGUUUUUACUUUCCUUCACUGAGGGUCGAUUGGAAACAGCCUCUCUGCCCUUUCGGGUAGGGGUAAGGCUACUCUACAUAUUACCCUCCCCAGACCCCACUUUGUGGGACUAUACUGGGUAGUUGUUAUUGUUGUUGUUACACUAUCUUUUGCUCCAUCAAGUAGGACAAAGUGAAAGGAAAAUACUUUUGCUCCUAACAAGUCUAGACCAAAAUAACGGGAAUUGAACUCUAUGAGAUCGAAUUUCCUGUUGUUCCUCAGUAGCUCAGUAGAGCAAUCGGCUGUUAACCAAUUGGCGGUAACAGCAAUGCACCUUCUGAUAUUUGAUCUUUAGGUGAUAGAGAUGAGUUGAAUAGACUAAGGCUUUUCCUUUUCUAAAUUAUGUCAAAUAUUGUACUUACAUUGUGUUUUAAGAAUAUAACCGGUGCUUGUUCAUCACCAGCUCCCCUGCACAAUUUUGCAAAACCCUGCUCUAUAUACUUGCAGCUGCCACAGGCGGUGCGAUAGAAGUCUACCGCAACCAAAGAACCAGCCUUUUUCG
rnacentral:lncRNA from 1 species